rnacentral:antisense_RNA from 1 species
AGGAGCUGCCGCAGGCUGCGAUCUUUUGAUCUUGUCUGCUGAACAUCAAGAUCAAAAGAUCGCAGCCUGCGGCAGCUCCU